rnacentral:rRNA from 1 species
GACAGAGGAUGCAAGCGUUAUCCGGAAUGAUUGGGCGUAAAGCGUCUGUAGGUGGCUUUUCAAGUCCGCCGUCAAAUCCCAGGGCUCAACCCUGGACAGGCGGUGGAAACUACCAAGCUGGAGUACGGUAGGGGCAGAGGGAAUUUCCGGUGGAGCGGUGAAAUGCGCAGAUAUCAGGAGGAACACCGAUGGCGAAGGCAGGUCUCUGGGCCACUACUGACGCUGAGAAGCGAAAGCAUGGGGAGCGAACAGG